rnacentral:lncRNA from 1 species
GAGAGAGAGGCUUAUUAGCUUCUUUUUGUUUUGCGAAUUCUUGUUGGGGCGGCACAGACACAUCAUCAGAUCCAGACAUUAUUCUUUCAAUUCUAAUCAAUCAUAUAUCGUGUCAUCGGAUACACUCAACCGCACUAGCUGCGUGCUAUAAAUACGGUGCUGACUGCUUCAUAUAUAUGUAUAUAUAUCGUUGCAUUGGAUACAUAUAUAGAUAUAGAUCGAUGAGGAUGAGCGUGUUGAUGAGGAGAAUAAUUGUGGUUUGCAAUUUGUGUUGUGUGUUGUUGGUUCUAAUGAUGAGUGUACGGUGUGAGGCACGGCCUCUGAUACGACGUCGUGUAAUCAUUGGAGAAGCUGGACAGUCACAGUAUCAUGACAACCUCCGAUUGAGCCCUGGGGGACCCGAUCCCCAUCAUCAUUAGCACUCAUCAUUCUUAAACUUUCAUGUAUUUUACUUCAAACUUUCCACUUUAUAUGUACCAUCAUUUCGCUCAGCAAUAACAUUUAAUUACGUGAAAGAUGUGAUUUGUAGUCAUUAAGUAGCUAUUAAUGAUUUAUUUAAUGGUAUAAGAUUUUAUCUAAUAAUGUGAAAUUAUUUAUUUUUUUUGCUGGUUACAUACUAGUCAAAAUUUAAUAAAAUUACU